AACGCUAGCUACAGGCUUAACACAUGCAAGUCGAGGGGUAGCAGGGUAGCAAUACCGCUGACGACCGGCGCACGGAUGAGUAACACGUAUCCAACCUUCCCAUAACUCGGGGAUAGCCUUUCGAAAGAAAGAUUAAUACCCGAUAGUACUUUAUCAAGGCAUCUUUUUAAAGUUAAAGAUUUAUUGGUUAUGGAUGGGGAUGCGUUCCAUUAGAUAGUUGGUGAGGUAACGGCUCACCAAGUCUUCGAUGGAUAGGGGUUCUGAGAGGAAGGUCCCCCACAUUGGUACUGAGACACGGACCAAACUCCUACGGGAGGCAGCAGUGAGGAAUAUUGGUCAAUGGGCGAGAGCCUGAACCAGCCAAGUAGCGUGAAGGAUGAAGGUCCUAUGGAUUGUAAACUUCUUUUAUAGUAGAAUAAAGUGAGCCACGUGUGGUUUUUUGUAUGUAUACUAUGAAUAAGGAUCGGCUAACUCCGUGCCAGCAGCCGCGGUAAUACGGAGGAUCCGAGCGUUAUCCGGAUUUAUUGGGUUUAAAGGGUGCGUAGGCGGAAUAAUAAGUCAGUUGUGAAAGUUUGCGGCUCAACCGUAAAAUUGCAGUUGAUACUGUUAUUCUUGAGUGUACAUAAGGUAGGCGGAAUUCGUGGUGUAGCGGUGAAAUGCUUAGAUAUCACGAAGAACUCCGAUUG
rnacentral:rRNA from 1 species